GGUAUAAUUGCUGAAUUGUAUGAUAGUUGCAUGCUCCAUUUUAAAAAAUAAUUGCCAAACUAUUUUCCAGAGUAGCUGUGCCAUUUUACAUUCCCAUCAGUAGU
rnacentral:pre_miRNA from 1 species